rnacentral:lncRNA from 1 species
GUUGCACUUGAGGUUGUUGUAGUGACCUCGCUAUCACGUCAUGAAGCAUCUUCAAAGUGUGCUCCAUUCCUUCUCCUUGUUGUGGUUGAUCAUGAACUUUUGGUUCAAUCGGGUUGUUCUGCCUUAUUGGUCUUGGUCCUUGGACACUUGACUCGCUAUCAUCUGUUUCUGGUCUUCCCCUUAUAGUACGGUUUGGUGGAAAGUUUUCUUCUAGUGGUAUAUCUGGUUCAUGUCCAAACAGAUUGUUGUUUCUUCCUACAUUUUCUUCACUAGAUCCUUGGUUGGUGUGCGCCAGUGUUUGCACCCUUCCCUCGGAUUCAUAUCCCAGUCCUCUUCUUCUUGAGACUCUUUAUGUACCCAUCUUCCAAUCUUGUCCUCCUUCACUCCUUCCCCUUCUUGCCAUCUGCAAUCCACGAACAAGGAAUUUCCUAUUAAGAAUACUAAUUAAAACGGAACUCUGCUGGUUUCCUAACAC